AUGGAGUCAGAUGAGAGUAUUAAGGAUGAUGAACCUGUCCUGACUCAGUCACCUUCUGCAUCUGCCACGCUGAAAACCUCAGUAAAGCUCACCUGUACCCUGAAUAAUGGCUAUGAUAGAUAUGUGGUGGACUGGUACCAGCAGAGCCCCAAAAAAGGCAUCUGGUAUAUGAUGAGGGUGGGUACCAGUGGUCAGGUAGAAUCCAAGGGAGAGGAAAUCCCUGAUCGCUUCUCAGGCUCAGGUUCAGGCCUGGAUUGGUUCCUGACUAUCCACAACAUCCAGGAAGAGGAUGAGGCUGACUAUUACUGUGGGGUUCCCCAUGGCAGUGGGAGUAGCUAUGUGUAA